rnacentral:rRNA from 1 species
GACGAACGCUGGCGGCGUGCUUAACACAUGCAAGUCGAACGGAAAGGCCCAGCUUGCUGGGUACUCGAGUGGCGAACGGGUGAGUAACACGUGGGUGAUCUGCCCCUGACUUUGGGAUAAGCCUGGGAAACUGGGUCUAAUACCGGAUAUGACCUUACAUCGCAUGGUGUUUGGUGGAAAGCUUUUGCGGUUGGGGAUGGGCCCGCGGCCUAUCAGCUUGUUGGUGGGGUAAUGGCCUACCAAGGCGACGACGGGUAGCCGACCUGAGAGGGUGAUCGGCCACACGGGGACUGAGACACGGACCAGACUCGUACGGGAGGCAGCAGUGGGGAAUAUUGCACAAUGGGCGCAAGCCUGAUGCAGCGACGCCGCGUGAGGGAUGACGGCCUUCGGGUUGUAAACCUCUUUCACCAGGGACGAAGCGUGAGUGACGGUACCUGGAGAAGAAGCACCGGCCAACUACGUG